rnacentral:pre_miRNA from 1 species
AACAAGUGCAGCCGUGGAUAUUCGUGUCCAACAUUUGACCGUCCGUCUUAUUUGAAAAAUUAAUGAAAAAAAUUAAAAAAAUUAGUCACACAUAAAGUAUUAUUCAUGUUUUAUCAUCUAAUAGCAAUAAAAUACUAAUAAAAAAAUUUUCAAAUAAGACGAACGGUCAAACGUUGAACGUGAAUAGUGUAAAACUGCACUUAUU